rnacentral:rRNA from 1 species
CCUACGGGGGGCUGCAGUGGGGAAUAUUGCGCAAUGGGCGAAAGCCUGACGCAGCAACGCCGCGUGAGGGAUGAAGUACGUCGAGAUGUAAACCUCUUUCAGCAGGGACGAAGCGAAAGUGACGGUACCUGCAGAAGAAGCGCCGGCUAACUACGUGCCAGCAGCCGCGGUAAUACGUAGGGCGCAAGCGUUGUCCGGAUUUAUUGGGCGUAAAGGGCUCGUAGGCGGUCUGUCACGUCGGAUGUGAAAACUCGGAGCUCAACGCCGGGCCUGCAUUCGAUACGGGCAGACUAGAGUUCGGUAGGGGAGACUGGAACUCCUGGUGUAGCGGUGGAAUGCGCAGAUAUCAGGAAGAACACCGAUGGCGAAGGCAGGUCUCUGGGCCGACACUGACGCUGAGGAGCGAAAGCGUGGGGAGCGAACAGGAUUAGAUACCCUAGUAGUCGCG